AGAAGCAGAAAGGUAAGUGAUGAUAGAACUGCUUCCGCAUUUGACUGGAUUACAAAACAGACAGGGCUAAAUGUUGGAAAGGUACUUUCAAAUGUGAAUGAGUACGGGAAAUCUUCAGGUAUUUGGCCAAGGAAUGCAGUGUGGGAUUCUGCCAAGUUUAUCCCUCCUGCAUAUAAUGCGUUUUAUGUUCCAAAAUAACAAAGUGACUUUUGAUAUUUAAGAGUAAUUUUAAAAAACUUCUUACUUUUUCCAAUUUUUCUGAAAACAUAUGUCACCCCCCACACACACACCCAAAAAAAAGCCAGAACAAAAACUUUCCCCCCUGUGGCAUCAAAAUUUCCAGAAAUUUUACAUCUCUAGCAUCUACAUAUGUGAAUCUAGCAUCUACAUGUGUGUGAAUCUGGAGAACAUUAAUAAUUCUAAAUAUAAGAUUUAGAAAUUAGUUUUUAACUAAGUUCUUAGUUUUUAACAAAGCAUUAGGGGCCAACUUUUUAUUGUUGAAUCUUACUUAAUUGGAAGGUUGGUCACAUUUGGCAUUAUACAAAGUAUACUGAGUUGCCAGAAUCGCAUGCCUACUCAGAAGUAAGUUUCAUUGAGUUCAAAGGGACUUAUUCCCAGGUAAGUACAGUAUAGGAUUGCAGCCUACAUUGUUUCUUAAGGUCAGAACAGAACAAGAACUAAAGAGAACAGAAGUGCUGCCACUUAGUAUUCCUCUGUUUGCUCAGCCUCUCUUUAGGUACAAAUAAUCUAUAUUUGCCUGAGGCAUGAAGGAUUCUUGUAUUCUAAGGCAACCAUUUGUCUGACAGCUGAACAGAAGCACCAAUUACCAUUGUGCUCAACUGAAACGUGACAUGCUCAUUCAAACACUGCCUGAAGUUGUGAAAUCCUACACAUUCCAAUGUGAUGAGCGUAUAUUUUAAAGCAUCUAUGAUUUGCCAGCCCAUUCACUAACACACUAACUAAGUCAGACACAGAUAAACCCACAGGUAAUGGGUGAGGGAGUGGGCAAUUGCAGGGCAGAGGAGAGGGGUUCACUAAGGGCAUCUUGCCCAUCAAAACCUGGAGCCGAUGCUAUAAGCGUCCUGUAUCAGAUCCAUCUAGUUUAGCAUCCUGUUUGCACAGCAGCCAAGCAGAUGUUGAUGAGAAGCCCACCGUCAAAACAUGAGUUCAUCAGUAUGCAGACGAUACCCAACUCUACCUCUCUUUUAAAUCAGAACUGGUGAAGGCAGGGAAUGUCCUGUGUGAGUGUCUGGAGGCGGUUGUAGGAUGGAUGGCAGCUAACAGAUUGAGGUUGAAUCCUGACAAGAUAGAAGUACGGUUUGGGGGGGACAGGGAGCAGGCAGGUGUGGAGGACUCCCUGGUCCUGAAUGGGGUAACUGUGCACCUGAAUGACCAGGUGCGCAGCCUGGGAGUCAUUUUGGACUCACAGCUGUCCAUGGAGGCGCAGGUCAAUUCUGUGUGCAGGGCAGCUGUCUACCAGCUCCAUCUGGUACGCAGGCUGAGACCCUACCUGCCCACAGACUGUCUCACUAGAGUGGUGCAUGCUCUAGUUAUCUCCUGCUUGGACUACUGCAAUGCAUUCUGCUUGGGGCUAAGUUUGAAGGUGACCCGGAAACUACAAGUAAUCCAGAAUGCGGCAGCUAGACUGGUGACUGGGAGUGGCCGCUGAGACCACAUAACACCGGUCUUUAAAGACCUACAUUGGCUCCCAGUACGUUUCUGAGCACAAUUCAAAGUGUUGGUGCUGACCUUUAAAGCCCUAAAUGGCCUCGACCCAGUACCUGAAGGAGUGUCUCCACCCCCAUUAUUCUGCCUGGACACUGAGAUCCAGCGCUGAGGGCUUUCUGGCGGUACCCUCCCUGCGAGAAGUGAGGUUACGGGGAACCAGGCAGAAUGUCUUCUCGGUAGUGAUGUCUGCCCUGUGGAACUCCCUCCCAUCAGAUGUCAAGGAAAUAAACAACUAUCUGACUUUCAGAAGACAUUUGAAGGCAGCCCUGUUUAGGGAAGUUUUAAAUGCUUCUUAAUGUUUUAUCAUGUAUAUAAUAUUCUGUUGGUAGCUGCCCAGAGUAGCUGGAGAAACCCAGCCAGAUGGGUGGGGUAUAAAUAUGUUGUUGUUGUUGUUGCAAUUGAUAGCCUUAUCCUCCAUUAAUAUGUUCAAACCACUUUUAUAGCAAUACAAGUUGGUAGUCACACUGCUGUUAUUUUCCCCUCAAAAAUAACAAUAAAUCAGAAAUGGAGAGGGGGGAGAAGGAAAGGGGAGAUUUUAUAUUCAUAAAUACUUGAAAGCACAAUAGUAAACCAGCUGUGAUCUUAAUGGCUGUGGUCAUAUGCUAUGCUUUCAGGGUAAAGAAGAAACCGGAUUACUGCUGCUUUUGAAAUUCAGCUAAGCACCCUUUAGCAACACAACCAGUUAACACAAGCAAUACACAUAACAAGACUAGUGGAAAGCUACCACCCUGAGAGCCAACACAUUUCCCAUUUGUCUUUUUGCUGCUAUAGACCAAGGAGGCUACUUAUCUGGAUCUGUGAAGUGAUUCUGCAGAAUGGAAUUAGGGACAGAAUCUCAAAGGAUCUUCUCCCUUAUCUACUUAGGUAUUAUUAGCAUUCACUCUCAUUCAAUCUCCCUCCCUAAAAUUAUGUAGAUUUAUAUACAAAUAUAUUCAGUACAUUAAAAAAAAACCAACCACAUGCUAUAGAACAAUUCACACACAUAAAAAUGGAGAAAACCCAUUUCAGACUUCAAUUAAAUUUUUAAAAAUUGAGCCUACAUUUCAGUAUCCACUGUAAUUAUAAUCAGCUCUUUAUUCUGAAGAGAUAAAAAAGGAAACUGGAAGGCAGGAAGAGGGGGAAAUGUUAGAAGCCUUUUCACUGGGCUUUUAGGCAUUUAGUCAAUUUACAUUUUUAAUCAGGAGAAAAUUUAUGUAAUACUACAUAACCACUAAGGAUCCUUCGGGACAAAGAGCACAAAAGUGAUCAUUUCAAAAAAAUAAUAAUAAUCUGUUUAAAAAUAUUGCUUCAAAGUUUUCUUUUUUUCAGAGCGGGAGCAGUUGUUUAAAGUGAUCAUUUCAUGCUACUUGUUUGGGAUUAAGUACAAAGUCAAUUUAACAAAUCAUAUAUGGAAAUUUGGGGCAGCAAGGAAAUAUUUUCUUGUCAGCAGAACCAGGUGAGAAUAUAUAAUGGAUAAAAAUUAGCACUACUCCUAGCUCCUUGCCUCAAGGAGGGGUCUUAGAAGGCCAGGGGAAAAAAUGGCUUAGGGGCAGAUAGGCCCUCAGAUCUGAUGUUAGCUACCCCAUGCUACUUGAUUCUUCUAUUAAAUGGAUAUGCCUGGGAAUACAGCCUGUAGCUUUCUGAAUGCAAUGUAUGCACUCUGCCCCUGACCUAUGAUCCCACUCCAAAGCCCUUCUUUCCAGUAUCCCUUGCUCCUAAGAAAUGUUAUGGGUGGGGCAACAUACAAGGCUUUCUAAGUGUUCAAACCUGAGUGCCUUUGGCUCUGUAUACACCAUGCAUUAACGGUGCCUGGCUCUCCCCUGGGAAGAAGAAGAAGAGUUUGGAUUUGACAUCCCGUUUUAUCACUACCCGAAGCAGUCUCAAAGUGGCUAACAACCUCCUUUCCCUUCUUCCCUCACAACAAACACUCUGUGAGGUGAGUGAGACUGAGAAACUUCAGAGAAGUGUGACUAGCCCAAGGUCACCCAGCAGAUGCAUGAGGAGGAGCAGGGAAGCAAACCCGGUUCACCAGAUUUCGAGUCCACCACUCUUAACUACUAUACCACACUGCUUACUGGCAACUGUCACCGUAGAGCUACAAUUCCCAGCACACUUAAUAAACUACAGUUCCCAGGAUGAUUUGGGGGGUGUAAUCCAAGUUUAUGCACCAACUACUGGUGCUGAAGAAACUGAAAUUGACCAAUUCUAUGAAGACUUAAAACACCUUAUAGAAAUGACACCAAUGAAGGAUGUUCUUCUCAUUAUAGGGGAUUGGAAUGCUAAAGUAGGGAAUCAAGAGAUAAAAGGAACAACUGGCAAGUUUGGCCUUGGAGUUCAAAACGAAGCAGGGCAAAGGCUAAUAAGAGUUCUGCCAAGAGAACAAGCUGGUAAUCACAAACACUCUUUUUCAACAACACAAGAGACGACUCUACACAUGGACAUCACCAGAUGGGCAGCAUCGAAAUCAGAUUAAUUAUAUUUUCUGCAGCCAAAGAUGGAGAAGCUCUAUACAGUCAGCAAAAACAAGACCUGGAGCUGACUGUGGCUCAGAACAUCAGCUUCUUAUAGCAAAAUUCAAGCUUAAACAGAAGAAAGUAGGAAAAACCACUGGGCCGGUAAGAUACAAUCUAAAUCAAAUCCCUUAUGAAUACACAGUGGAAGUGAGGAACAGGUUUAAGGAUUUAGAUUUGGUGGACAGAGUGCCUGAAGAACUAUAGAUGGAGGCUCGUAACAUUAUACAGGAGGCAGCAACGAAAACCAUUCCAAAGAAAAGGAAAUGCAAGAAAGCAAAGUGGCUGUCCAAUGAGGCCUUACAAAUAGCGGGGGGAGAAAGCAAGCAAAAUGUGAGGGAGAUCAUGAAAGAUACAAGAAACUGAAUGCAGAUUUCAAAAAAAUAGCAAGGAGAUACAAGAAGGCCUUCUUAAACGAGCAAUGCAAAGAAAUAGAGGAAAACAACAGAAUGGGAAAAACCAGAGAUCUGUUCAAGAAAAUUGGAGAUAUGAAAGGAACAUUUCGUACAAAGAUUACCAUAAUAAAAGACAAAAGUGGAAAGGACCUAACAGAAGCAGAAGACAUCAAGAAGAGCUGGCAAGAAUACACAGAGGAAUUAUACCAGAAAGAUAUGGAUGGCUCGUACACCCCAGGUAGUGUGGUUGCUGACCUUGAGCCAGACAUCCUGGAGCGUGAAGUCAAAUGGGCCUUAGAAAGCAUUGCUAAUAACAAGGCCAGUGGAAGUGAUGAUAUUCCAGCUGAACUAUUUAAAAUUUUAAAAGAUGAUGCUGUUAAGGUGCUACACUCAACAUGCCAGCAAGUUUGGAAAACUCAGCAGUGGCCAGAGGAUUGGAGAAGAUCAGUCUACAUCCCAAUCCCAAAGAAGGGCAGUGCCAAAGAAUGCUCCAACUACCACACAAUUGCACUCAUUUCACAUGCUAGUAAGGUUAUGCUUAAAAUUCUACAAGGCAGUCUUAAGCAGUAUGUGGACCGAGAACUCCCAGAAGUGCAAGCUGGAUUUCAAAGGGGCAGAGGAACCAGAGACCAAAUUGCAAACAUGUGCUGGAUUAUGGAGAAAGCUAGAGAGUUCCAGAAAGACAUCUACUUCUGCUUCAUUGACUAUGCAAAAGCCUUUGACUGUGUCGACCACAGCAAACUACGGCAAGUUUUUAAAGAAAUGGGAGUGCCUGAUCACCUCAUCUGUCUCCUGAGAAAUCUCUAUGUGGGACAAGAAGCUACAGUUAGAACUGGAUAUGGAACAACUGAUUGGUACAAAAUUGGGAAAGGAGUACGACAAGGCUGUAUAUUGUCUCUCUGCUUAUUUAACUUAUAUGCAGAAUUCAUCAUGCGAAAGGUUCGGCUGGAUGAAUCCCAAACCGGAAUUAAGAUUGCCAGAAGAAAUAUCAACAACCUCAGAUAUGCAGAUGACACAACCUUGAUUGCAGAAAGUGAGGAGGAAUUAAAGAACCUUUUAAUGAGGGUAAAAGAGGAGAGCACAAAAUAUGGUCUGAAGCUCAGCAUCAAAAAAACGAAGAUCAUGGCCACUGGGCCCAUCACCUCCUGGCAAAUAGAAGGGGAAGAAAUGGAGGCAGUGAGAGAUUUUACUUUCUUGGGCUCCAUGUUCACUGCAGAUGGUGACAGCAGUCACGAAAUUAAAAGACGCCUGCAUCUUGGGAGAAAAGCAAUGACAAACCUAGACAGCAUCUUAAAAAGCAGAAACAUCACUUUGCCAACAAAGGUCCGUAUAGUUAAAGCUAUGGUUUUCCCAGCAGUGAUGAAUGGAAGUGAGAGCUGGACCAUAAAGAAGGCUGAACGACGAAGAAUUGAUGCUUUUGAAUUAUGGUGCUGGAGGAGACUCUUGAGAGUCCCAUGGACUGCAAAAAGAUCAAACCUAUCCAUUCUGAAGGAAAUCAGCCCUGAGUGCUCACUGGAAGGACAGAUCCUGAAGCUGAGGCUCCAAUACUUUGGCCACCUCAUGAGAAGAGAAGACUCCCUGGAAAAGAUCCUGAUGUUGGGAAAGAUGGAAGGCACAAGGAGAAGGGGACGACAGAGGACGAGAUGGUUGGACAGUGUUCUCGAAGCAACCAACAUGAGUUUGACUAAACUGGGCAAGGCAGUGGAAGACAGGAGUGCCUGGCGUGCUCUGGUCCAUGGGGUCACGAAGGGUCGGACACGACUAAAUGACUAAACAACAACAACAGUCAUGUGCUUUAACUGUAUAGAGUUCACAGAGUCUCGUGACAUUUACAGACAAGUUACCAAUCUCUUCCCUUCUUUCCCAUCUGUUGGCACCUACUAAAUAGUUGAAGGUGUGAAGCUGUCUUAUGCUAUAGGAUCACUGGUCUGCAAGGCUUAAUAAAUGCUCUGACUGGAUGGAAGCAACUCUUCAGGGCCCCAAGCAAGGCCUAUUUUGAACCCUACUAUCUGAGAACACUUUAUAUGAAGAUGCCAGAACUUGAACUUCCUCAGGCAUGCAAAGAAUAAAAUAAAAAUAAAUAUGCACUACAAUAGUCCCAUGGCCUCUGCCCAGCAACUGACAUGACGGGCUGAGCUAAUUCAAAAGGCCCUCCCCUCUGACUGACCUACCCACAUAUUUAGAAAGGCCCUGGGCAAGACGGAAUUAUUGCCAUGGGGAAUAACGCCGGUAAACCACAAUUUCCCCAGAGCAGUAAUCUAAAGAGACAGGGCCAGUUGGACCAAAGUGAUUUCUUAAAAUACAUGCACCAGUUUAAUAUACUUAGGCAUACAUUGUAUAGUAUAGCCACACAAUCUGGCUGUGGGAAGAAAUGGCAGAUUUGUUGUUGUUGUUUUACAUAUGAGCUAAUCAUGAAUGAAGGCAUUCAUGCGCACACAUAUCUAGAUGAAUGAAACACAAAGAGGUUAUGAAAACAGGAAUUGGAGCUGGAAUAGGAGAAAAUGUGGUAGAUGUCGCAAAUGCCCCAAAAACCUUUCCUAGUGAUACUGGCAUGGGGAGUGAUCUGUCACUUUCAGUUCUCUCGAUUUCAGAUUUUUCCAAUCUUAAAUUCAGUUCUCCACAUUUCUGAAGCACUGUUUGUUUGUUUUUAAAAAUAUCCUUUAGAAAAAUUCUUCAAAAUUAAGAAAAUUAUUCAGCAUUUCUGUGUAAAUUUCUCCUAGUAUACAGUUUUGACCAAUGUACCCAUUUUUACAAGCAAUUUCAAAGGAAAUAAUGGAUUUUGUACGUUGUUUUCACUAAUAUAUUCAUUUAUAGGCACAUAUACCCUAAUAUAUGCAUAUUUGUAAAUAUUAUUUGCUUCCUCACAUUUCUUUGGGAGGCACAAAUUUGAUAAAUUCAGCUUUGAAUACAAAUGGAAUCAAAUUUAUCCACUAUCUCUAGUCACUACCUUUAAAAAAACUUUUUCAAGGUCAGCAAAGAACAAUGAUAUCUCCUGCUCAAAGAAGGAUCCAGUCAUGGGCCACAUGUUCAUUCCAAGUCCCACUCUUUGGCCAGAGACUUGCUAGUUAAUUAUGCUACAUGUUCAGUUGUCUGUAAUUUUUUGCUACUCAAAUUUAUACAAAGUAUUUCCCUCGGUUUUUCUUGUAGAUACAUUGGGAAAUAUAAAUAUGUUUCAAAAGAGAAAGGAAAGACAACCAGGUAAAGUGGGUACCUCAGCCAACCUCACAGGGUGGAUUUGACAAUAAUAAUGGGAAGGGGGACCAUUUCUGGUACCCUUAUCUCCUUGAAAUAAGGGUGGAACAACAACAAAGGCAUUUGUUGUUGUUGCUACUGCUGCUACUACUGUUCUCGCUUCAUCGUUUUGAAGAGCAGGAUCUUGAACUGUCACUACACUGAAAUUGCAGUAUCAUAACACUGAUGCGAAAUAUCUGUGCAGUUAGGACUGUGUUGAUUAGAUAGCGAGCUUCUCACCCUUGGUGACUCUGCAGUGUCUGAAAGCAAAAUCAACCCCACACUCUUGUCAGAAUUCAUUUGACUUUUGCUGUGAUUUAUUCUCAGCUAACAUGUAUGUGCGGCCAAAGACUAUUUUUUUGUUUUGGUUUCAGAAGCAGUAGCUACCCUGUCUUUCUCAGUCAUGUCACAGCACAGACAACUUGGAGCUAACGUGAAACGUUGCUUAGCAACCACGCUAAGCCUGCUGGG
rnacentral:lncRNA from 1 species